GGCAGAGCAAAUCCCUAAAAGCCAUCCCAGUUCGGAUUGCAGGCUGCAACCCGCCUGUAUGAAGUUGGAAUCGCUAGUAAUCGCGGAUCAGCAUGCCGCGGUGAAUACGUUCCCGGGCCUUGUACACACCGCCCGUCACACCAUGAGAGUCGGGAACACCCGAAGUCCGUAGCCUAACCGCAAGGAGGGCGCGGCCGAAGGUGGGUUCGAUAAUUGGGGUGAAGUCGUAACAAGGUAGC
rnacentral:rRNA from 1 species